AGAGUUUGAUUAUGGCUCAGGAUGAACGCUGGCGGCGUGCCUAACACAUGCAAGUCGAACGGGAUAUAUAAGGAGCUAAGGUGUUUACAUUUUAAGGAAUUAUAUAUUCAGUGGCGGACGGGUGAGUAACGCGUGGGUAACCUGCCUCAUACCGGGGGAUACCACCUGGAAACAGGUGCUAAUACCGCAUAACACAUUCCGGUGCAUGCCGGGAUGUUGAAAACUCCGGUGGUAUGAGAUGGACCCGCGUCUGAUUAGCCAGUUGGCGGGGUAACGGCCCACCAAAGCGACGAUCAGUAGCCGGCCUGAGAGGGCGGACGGCCACAUUGGGACUGAGACACGGCCCAGACUCCUACGGGAGGCAGCAGUGGGGAAUAUUGCACAAUGGGGGGAACCCUGAUGCAGCGACGCCGCGUGAGUGAAGAAGUAUUUCGGUAUGUAAAGCUCUGUCAGCAGGGAAGAAAGAGACGGUACCUGACCAAGAAGCCCCGGCUAACUACGUGCCAGCAGCCGCGGUAAUACGUANGGGGCAAGCGUUAUCCGGAUUUACUGGGUGUAAAGGGAGCGUAGACGGCAAUGCAAGUCUGGAGUGAAAGCCCGCGGCCCAACUGCAGGA
rnacentral:rRNA from 1 species